rnacentral:lncRNA from 1 species
GGAAUAGGACCAGAGAUACCCGGCAAAGUUCUGCUUGGCCACUCCUAAUCCUCCCUCCACUCUGGUUAACACCAGCUAAAAUGCAGGUCCUCCUCGCCCUGGAUUCGGCUACACCACUGAUGAACAACACACAGGCAGAGGAAAGUGUUUGGAGGUCUUUCACAGGGAAGCAAUUCAUGUUUAUUUGGUAGAGCCAAAAAUUCAACAAGGGAGUAAAGAAGUUCCUCCAAGGUGGGUUUUGCUCAGGACAGGCAGACAUUUCUUGUGGCUAGAAGUGAGUGGCAACAGGUCCUCCGGCAGUGAUGAGCUACCUGGCCUCAGGAGCAUUCAAGUAGACCGAAGGCCAUGGGAGGUUCCAGAAGCUGGAGCAACAGGCCAGGCUUGGAUCAUUGUGAAGGCCUUGCUGGGGCAGCAGGUGUACACUCUGCUACAUGAGAGAAGUCCCUGAGGGGAGAAGUGAGUUUGUCCAAGGAGUAGGAGAGAAGCUGGGCCUGUUUGACAUCACACACCUCCACUCCUGCUGGAGAAGGGAGCCAAGGUGGGCUGAGACAUUCCCAGACUCAGUGCCCACAGCUCCAUCCAUCUGGAAGACUUUGGGUCAAAUCCAUAAAGAACGUGAGAGGGGCCGGGGAGCCAGCCCAGGAUGACUGAAAGUGCAGUGAGUUCUCUGUCUGAGCCUCCAAGGGUCUUCUGCCUGGGCGUUCUCUGCACCACAGGCAGGAGUGGCCAUCUCUUGGAGGUUUUCUAAGGGCUGAGCGAGAGACAGAAGCAAGGAGUUUCCAUACAAGCCUCCAACACCUGAGGAAGAAUUGGAAUAACUGCCGGUGGAGCUGCAGGGUCCCAGGGGAGAAGCCCAGGCUCUGAGUCCACAGGGACUGAGACCUUUGCUUAUCAACUCGGCAACCUCAGGCAACGAUGCUUCCUGGGCCUCAGUUUACUUGUCUGUGGGGAAUUGACACACUAGGUAAAGUGGGGCUGUUAGGAGGCACUGAGCAUGUUAGUUCUUGUUCCUACAUCCCCAGGGCAAGACUUCCUCCCAAGGGAGGUGAUCCAAUGACAAACUCAUUCGUACCAAGUUGCGAACAGCUGACCCCUGAUCCCUCCUUGAAAACGAUGGAAGAGGGCUAGACGCAGUAGCUCACACCUGUAAUCCCAGCACUUUGGGUGGCCAAGGCAGGUGGAUUGCUUGAACUCAGGAGUAUGAGACCAGCCUGGGGAACAUGAUGAAACCUCAUCUGUAGAAAAAAAUACAAAAAAAAAAAAAAAAUUAAUUAGUUGAGUGCGGUGGCGUGCACCUGAAGUCCCAGCUACUUGAGAAGCUGAGGUGGACGGAUCACCUGAGCCCAGGAGGUUGAGGCUGCAGUGAGCUAUGAUGGCACCACUGCACUCCAGCCUGGGUGACAGAGUGAGACUCUCUCUCCAACAAAACAAAACAAUGGAAGAGAUGAGAAACCAGGUUACCAAAUUCCUGGUGCCUAAGAGCACAGAAGUGCCAAGAGGGGGCAGCCAGCAGUAGUAAAGAUAAAUUUUAGAUUUUCCACACAAUUUUUGGAGAACUGACUCUGGGUUUACUGAUUUGGAUUUGGAUAAAUUCUAACAGGCUUCAGAUGGAUGGAAACACAGCGGAAGAUGAUGUUGAAUUUUUUGGAAGGUUAUACAUGCUGCACUCGGGAAUCGCUAACAUUUUAAAAAGACUUUAGUGGUGCUGCUGUGGAGCAACUGGAACGCACAAGCAUUGCUGGUGGAUGUAAAGUGGUGCAACCAUCUGGAAAAGGGCCUGGAAGUCUCUUAUAAAACCGAAAAUACACCUACCCCAGACCCAACCAUUUCAAUCCGAUAUUUACUCAAGAUAAAGGAAAAUUUAUGUCCACAAAAAUAUUUGUUCACACCAGUUUUAUGAAUCAUAGCCAAAACCCAGAAACAGCCCAUUAAGAGGAGAAUGUAAAAACAAAUUAUAUCUUCUUAAAAUGGAAUACUACUCACUAACAAAAAGAAAUGAAUCCUCAGCACGUCACAAAUGACAUGAAUAUAGCACAAAACACACUGAACGGAAGGAGCCAGACAGAACUGACUACAUACGACAUGACUUCAUUUCUAUAAAGUUCUAGAACAGGCAAAACAAAUCUGUGGUGAAGAAAAAAUAAGAGCAGUGCUUGCUUCUGAAGAUUGAAGGGGGUAUUGCUUGGAAAGGGCAUUAGAGAAACUUCUAGGGUUCUGGGGAUGUUCUAAGCCUUGAAAGAAGUUUAUGCACUUGUUGGAACUCAAUGAAUGUACACUUAGCAUUUGCACAUAACACUGUAUCUAAAUCUUACCUCAAAAAAGGACUGUAAACAAAUAUGAAGCUCUAAUUAAUGAUACGCCAGGUGAAAUAUUUAGGGAAACAAAUGGAGGUCCGCAAGUUACUUUGAAAUGCAUUAAACACAAGAUGCCAAGGGUUGAUGGAUGAGAGAUAAACGGGUGGGUAGAUGUGUGAUAAAGUACCGCAAAUAUUAACUGUAGAACCUAGAGUGUCUACUUUACAAUUGUUUCCACUUUUCUGUGUGUUUGAAAAUUUUCAUAAUACAAUGAUGGAAUACUAUGCAGCCAUAAAAAGAAAUGAAUUAACAGCAUUUGCAGUGACCUGGAUGAGAUUGGAGACUAUUAUUCUAUGUAAUGUAACUCAGGAAUGGAAAACCGAAGAUCAUAUGUUCUCACUGAUACGUGGGAGCUAAGCUAUGAGGACGCAAAGGCAUAAGAAUGAUACAAUGGCCUUUGGGGACUUAGGGGGAAGAGUUGGAGGGGGGCGAGGGAUAAAAUACUACAAAUAUGGUGCAGUAUAUACUGCAUGGGUGAUGGAUGCUCCGAAGUCUUACAAAGCACCACUAAAGAACUUACUCUUGUAACCAAAUACCACCUGCCCCCCAGUAACUUAUGGAAAAAAAUUUUAAGUUGGGGUUUUUAUCAUAAAAGCCAGCCUGAAAGUGUAUCUUAAUUUUGCAUGUGUCUUCAGCCUGCUGGAGAAGCUCUCCCGCUGGAAGCAGAGCCUGGAAGUCAGGUCAGGAUGCUGCGGUCUAAGUCCCACCGCUGGCUCCGGAUAUAAGAGUAGGGCCAAGGGCGAUCACAUCAUCUCCUCUCACUCCCCUUAUCUGCACCACACAGGCCCUCAGAGAGAUAAAGGCGUCCCACAAAAGGGCUUUGAUGUUGAGGGUGACCAACAUCGCAUCGGGACAAAGAAUGAUUAUUUGGUUACAGAAAGACAGGCUGAUCAAGUCAAAAUCUAGCAACUUGCAGCUUUCAUUUAGCUGAGCAGCAUCUGAAACCAGAGUCAAGACUGGAGAACCAGGGGCUGCCUUCUCGGUCAGACAGACUCGGAGGAGGCCAGUAUCCAGAUGGUGUCGCCUCAUACACUGCAAACCUGAAAACAGGCCACCGUGCCCACCUGCUCCCUGGAGGUCAGCCACAUGCGGAGAUCCACCCAGCAGAUAGGUUUUUGGAUUUUGCUGAUCGAUGGGAAGGAUCCAUCGAUGUGGAUUCCAAGCCUUUCAAUAAAAGCGACUUUGAUGUUGUUGGUUCUAGUUUUGCACUUUCUUUACUAAAGAAAAUGAAAAUAAUCCUUCCCUCAGUAUCAUCAAGAUCAUGAAGGCAAAUACAGCAUGAAUUUGAGAAAAGAUCCUAAACCGGAAAAAACGUGGUUGCAAAGGGCAUUCUAUUUGAAUAAGGAUGAUGGGUU